AGUGAACGCUGGCGGUAGGCCUAACACAUGCAAGUCGAACGGCAGCACAGUAAGAGCUUGCUCUUACGGGUGGCGAGUGGCGGACGAGUGAGGAAUACAUCGGAAUCUACUUUUUCGUGGGGGAUAACGUAGGGAAACUUACGCUAAUACCGCAUACGACCUACGGGUGAAAGCAGGGGAUCUUCGGACCUUGCGCGAUUGAAUGAGCCGAUGUCGGAUUAGCUAGUUGGCGGGGUAAUGGCCCACCAAGGCGACGAUCCGUAGCUGGUCUGAGAGGAUGAUCAGCCACACUGGAACUGAGACACGGUCCAGACUCCUAUGGGAGGCAGCAGUGGGGAAUAUUGGACAAUGGGCGCAAGCCUGAUCCAGCCAUACCGCGUGGGUGAAGAAGGCCUUCGGGUUGUAAAGCCCUUUUGUUGGGAAAGAAAAGCAGCAGGUUAAUACCCCGCUGUUCUGACGGUACCCAAAGAAUAAGCACCGGCUAACUUCGUG
rnacentral:rRNA from 1 species